rnacentral:rRNA from 1 species
UACGAAGGGGGCUAGCGUUGCUCGGAAUCACUGGGCGUAAAGCGCACGUAGGCGGGUCGUUAAGUCGGGGGUGAAAUCCUGGAGCUCAACUCCAGAACUGCCUUCGAUACUGGCGAUCUUGAGUCUGGGAGAGGUGAGUGGAACUCCGAGUGUAGAGGUGAAAUUCGUAGAUAUUCGGAAGAACACCAGUGGCGAAAGCGACUUCCUGGACCAAUACUGACGCUCAUGUGCGAAAGCGUGGGGAGCAAACAGG